UAACAAAUCUGCCGCUACUUCUGGAGGUAAUGAACCUACUGCAUAGGCGUAGCGGGUGGAUUUGGUG
rnacentral:precursor_RNA from 1 species